AUUAACAUUCAAUUCAUUUCAAUUUGUUUACCUUUUGUUUUUUUCUCGAACCUCAAGAUGGCGCAUCUUCCACUUCCGUUGUUCUCGUAGUCGGAAGUGUUGCCGAGUCGGAAACUCUCAAUUUUUUAAAUGAAAAUUUUCCCUUUAAAAGUGAUGAUUAACUUGCUUUUUUGGUUAAUUAUUUAAUUGUUCUUCGAGUUAAUUGUCCUUUGUUUACCUUAAUCUCUACUCAACAUCAAGUAUCUGGUGGUUAAAUUGACUAAAAGUUAUGGUAACUCAACGGGUGAUCGAUGGUAAAUCAUUGGAUCAAAUUGGCCUAUGGAUUGACCUUUUCUCCAAUUCUUGAGUAAUUUGUAAUUUGGUGGAACUCUCAUGUGGUUAGUUAAUUGUGGAUUCUCCAAAUCGUUUGGAGCGAAAAAGUUUGAAAUGUCGAUCAACACGUGGACCUGAUUUUCUAUAGAAAUUUGGCUUUUGGGUUCCAUCGCCAUGUUUUUCCAUGUCUGGUGUUGAUUUAUAUUCGCUUUGGUUGGAAAGAAUUUCAGGAACCAUUUAUUUCUCUAUCACAUUUAUGGAACAACUUCCCUGAUAUAUUCCAAUAAACAUGAUGGUAAAAGUCUAACAAACUCUCAAGGUGACUAAAGAUCAUGACACUAAUCUGAAUCGACACCGUUCACAAUAUUCAAACCCAAAGAUAUUGAAAAUAAUCUUGACCAUUGAUUGUUAAUUGUUUUCCAAUUAAAUUUAUUUAACAUUCAAAA